rnacentral:lncRNA from 10 species
UAGCUGGGGUCCUGGCCGGUGACUCCAUCUCCCUUUCUGCUGUCUCCCUGUCUAUAAGACAAGGGGCUGGGCCAGCCAUCUCAAGGUCCCCUCCAGUUCCAUCUUCCCAGGGCUGAGCAGGUCCUGGGCCUUGGCGUCACAGAGCCCAGCUCACAGGCCCACCCGGGAGAGGUAUCGGGAUGUGUCUUUGCCACAUCAUAAGUUAGGCAGAAAGAUGUGUGGGACGUGGCCCUGCCCCCGGUCAGGACGGUGGACACAUGCAAACGCCGCACAGACGCACCCUGCCCUGACACCGCCCGGAGCACCUGGGUGGCUUCCUGAAUGGCGAGGCAUGGUGGGCACUCAUGGGCCUGCCGUGCACCCCACCUGCAGGGCACGUGCCCAGCAGACAGCAAGGGCUGAAUGACAGGUGACAGGACGGCCGCCAGGCAGGCGAAGGUGGGGCCAAAGGCAAGGGUGGGGCGAGGGGGGGCGAGGGAGGGGUGAGGGAGGGGUGAGGGACGGUCAGACCGGAUGUGGCUGUGCUUCAGACCGCGCGGGAAGUCCUGGGAUGGCGUGGAGCCCGCUUCAGCUGAAGGGACAGAGGGAGAGGCAGGGGCCAGACAGCGCCAACCACCUGAGACCCAGGCAAGAGACAGUAUGGUGGGUGGGGGUACUGCCCAGUAAGGGCUGGGGGAGAGGACUGAGGAAACCCUCCCUCCAUCAACGUGCCUGGGAGCCCUGCCAGCCUCCCAGCAAGGUUGUGGCCCGCAGCGGACGCUCCCCACGAGGUAGAGCCCCGUUUCCACACCUGGAGCAGCUGCACCUGGAGGUGGGGCUCAUCUCCAGACCUGGAGCAGCUGCCUGCCCCAGGGCAGAAGCCACUGCCCGCAGCUAGGGAGCAUUGAGGAGGUCUCCCCAGGUCCGCGCGGGUUUUCUCCAGGUCCUCCAGUUUCCUCCCACAUCCCAAGUAUACACCUCAGCCUCACGGCAUGUCUACAUGGGCCUAGUCCGAGUGAGUGUGGGUGUCCCAUGGAGGCCUGUCCUAUCCAGGGCGGGUGCCCACCUUGGCACUGAGCCUCCAGGAUGGGCCCUGGUCACCUGCCACUCUGAACUGGAGAAAGCAAGUUGGAAAAUGAAUGAAUACAUGAAUAUAAAUUAUCAAAUAAAAAUUAUAAAGCCUACGGUAAUCACACAAACGCAUGACAACAAACGCCGCGUGUGAGGGUGCUCAAGGAGCCGCCAUACUCACGGUCGCUUGUCUUUCAGCUGUGCGGUGGGAGGAGGUGCUCCCAAGAGCGUGUGCUUUGCAGACAUUGAUUCCGUGAUUUCACCACCACCACUACCACCGCCGUCACUCACAGACAUCCCAAAUAUUGGGUAGAUCAUGAUCUCACUUGUUUGUAUUAAUCUUCCUUAUGUAGGUGUAGCUACCUCUACAUGUAGGGAUAGUUUACAUUUAUUUCAAUGUUUAAUAUUAGAAGUGUUUGGGUCUUUAGAAAUUUGGUGGUGUUUUUUGUUUUUUUGUGGGGUUUUUUUGGAAAUAGGGUUUUGUUCCGUCGCCCAGGCUGGAGUGUGGUGGUGUGAUCACAGCUCACCGCAACCUUAGCCUCUGAGGCUCAAGCAAUCCUCCCACCUCAGCCUCCUAAGUAGCUGGGACCACAGGCACACACCACCUUUCCUGGCUAAUUUGGGGGGCAUUUUUUGUAGAGAUGGGGUUUCAUCAUGUCGCCCAGGCUGGUUUUGAACUCCUUGCCUCAAGAGAUCUGCCACCUCAGCCUCCCGAAGUGCUGGGAUUACAGGUGUGAGCCACCACACCUGUUCUGGUGAUGUUUUGAGAGCAGAAAUAUGCCUCUUUUUUUUUUUUGAGACAGAGUUUCACACUUAUUGCCCAGGCUGGAGUGCGGUGGCGUGAUCUCGGCUCACUGCAACCUCCACCUCCCAGGUUCAAGCGAUUCUCCUGCCUCAGCCUCCCGAGUAGCUGGGAUUACAGGCAUGCACCACCACACCCAGCUACUUUUGUAUUUUUAGUAUUUCUCCAUGUUGGUCAGGCUGGUCUUGAACUCCCAACCUCAGGUGAUCUGCCCGCUUUGGCCUUCCAAAGUGCUGGGAUUACUGGUGUGAGCCACCGCACCCAGCCUAUGACAUAGGAAUUUAACUCUUGUUUAUAUCAACUAGCCUAUGGUAAAAUUGGUUUCAUUAUAUGUUGUCUUGCUUAAAGUCACAGUUUCCAGGAAGCUGUGAUGAAAUUGAGGACUUACUGUAUGCCAUUAUCUGUUUAAAAGAAAUGAUAAGUACCAACCCAUGGCCCCUGUUUCCAUGGGACCUAAGAUGAAAUGCCCAAGGUAAAGGCGAUGGCUUCCAUCUCCCAGUCCCCCGAGCCUGUCUGAGCUCCAAUACUGGUUCUCUGUCCUGUGCCGUACCCCUUGGGAGACACUGACUUUCUCCCCCCAAUCCAGUGGUCCCAAAUAAUCACCUCUGUAGUUGCAGAAGUGGAGAAGUGGACUGAGCCUUCACAUUGCCUGAAAGAUGGGGAACUCCGCCCUCUAGUGUCCGUCAGCACAGCAAGUGGGACACUUCCAUUUCCAAAGUGGAAAGACGGUGCCUUUAAAGAUGUAACCCCAACGGAGGUCAAGGUCUGAAAGGGGCACAUUCUUUCCAUGACUCUAGCCUGAUAAAGACACCCACAACCCUCCCGCCACUUGCAAGAUUUGAUCCGAAACCAGCUUCUAACAGCUGCCAAACUAAAAUGCCUUAGAGACAUGGGGUAACCAAAUUACAAACGCACGUUCCAUUUGAUGCAGCCAUGCCACCUCUAGAACUGUAUGCUGCAAAUACAGAGUCGCACAUGUGCAGUCACCUGUGCACAAGAUUACUGUUGCAGCUGUUGGUGUUAGUGAAAAACGGACACUCCCUAAAUGUGCACCGUAGAGAGUAGGUGUACCAGCCUCUGCUGCGUGGAACAGCCUGCAGUGGUUGAAAAAUGAGGAAAUCUGCACAUUCAUGUUCACAGCAGCGUCAUUCACAACAGCCAAGAGGUGGAAACAACCCAGGCGUCCACCAACAGGUCAACAGAUAAACACAAUGUGGUCUGUACAUGCAGUGAAAUAUUAUUCACCUUUAGAAAGGAAGGCGUUUUGACACAUGCUACCACAUGGAUGAACCUUGAAGACAAUAUGCUCAGUAAAACAAAGCAGUCACAGGCCGGGCGCAGUGGCUCACGCCUGUAAUCCGAGUUUGGGACCAGCCUGACCAACAUGGUGAAACCCUGUUUCUAUUAAAAAUACAAACAAAAAAAAAUUGCUGGGAGUGGUGGCACACACCUGUAAUCCCAGCUACUCGGGAGGCUGAGGCAGGAGAAUCACUUGAGCCCAGGAGUGCAAGUUGCAAUGAGCUGAGAUCGCACCACUGCACUCCAGCCUAGGCGAUAGAACAAGAUUCUGUCUCAAAAAAAAAAAAAAAAGACAGUCACAAAAGAACAAAUGAUUGCACUUGUUUGAGUUUCUUAGAGGAGUCAUAUGCAUAGAGACGGACAAUAGAAUGGUAGGUGUCAGGGGCUGAGGGAAGGAGAACAGGCAGUUAGUGUUUAACGGGGACAGAGUUUUGAUUUUGCAAGACAAAAAAGAGUUCUGGAGGUUGGUGGUAGUGAUGGUUGCACAACAAUGCAAAUGUACUUAAUAUCACUGAACUGUACACUUAUUAGUAAAAUGGUUAAAAUGGUGAAUUUUAUGUUACGUGUAUUUUACCAUUAAAAAAUGAAGAAAUUUCUUUGCUAUUGUGGCACACACACAAAAAGAAAUUCUUUGUUUUCGUAUCUCCUUCCUUCUAGAGAUAUGGAAAUAUCUCCAACUUAUUACAUAAAAAUAACAUGGAGAACAACGUAUGUAUGGUGUGCUAACAUUUAUGCCAAAACAGGAAAUACAUAUGCAAUUGCUUGUAACUACAUAAAAUAUCUCUAGGGCCCGCAUGAAACUGGUCACACUGGCUGCUCCUGGUGAGGUUGUAGGAGGCUGAGCACAGAGCCAGCAGGGGACUUUUUGGUUAUUUUUAUUUUGAACCAUGAGAAGGUAUUAAUCACACACACAGUAAGCGAAAUAAAAAUGCCAUUUUCGGAAAGAAUAAAGCCAUUUAUGGAAAGCCAUGAAUAUGGGUUGCCUGCAUACAGGCAGGUGUAAUGGUGGUACAGAUCACCAUUAUUCUGCUGGAAAUAAAACUGACCUAUAUGGACCCCAGGUGCAGACCUGUUAUGAACUGAAUAUUUAUCAAAAUUAAAAUGUUGAAACCCUAACCUCCUAUGGUGUUAGGAGGUGAGGACUCGGAGGUAAUAAGGUUAUGAGGAUGGGGCCCUAUAAUGAGGUUAGUGCCUUUAUAAGAAGAGAGAAGAGAGCUUGCUCACUCUCUCUCUCUCCUCACCGUCUGAGGAUACAAUGAGAAGGCAGCUGUCUGCAAACCAGGAAGAGAGACCUCACUAGGAACAGCACUGACCAGCAGCUUGAUCUUGAAUUUCCAGGCUCCAGAACUGUGAGAAAUCAAUUUCUGUUGUUUAAUCUGUGUAUCUGUGGCAUUUGUCACAGAAGUCUCAGCUGAGGGAGAUAAGACCUUAAGUCUUCUUAGGGGUUUAACUAUAUGGUCUGAUCAAUUACAGAUGCUGAUAAAACACAAACACCUUCCUUUUUAAAACUGAGAUUCACUUGCUAAAUUAUUUCCCUGUGAGAUCUUGUGACAACCAUUCAUGUGUGAUUACAUGGAAAGAACACGAAAGUGAGAGCCAAGCCGGGCAUAGUGGCUACGCCUGUAAUCCCAGCACUUUGGGAGGCUGAGGGGGGCGGAUCACCUGAGGUCAGGAGUUCGAGACCAGCCUGACCAAUAUGGUGAAACCGUGUCUCUACUAAAAACACAAAAAUUAGCUGGGCGUGGUGGUGCAUGCCUGUAAUCCCAGCUACUCAAGAGGUUGAGACAGGAGAAUUGCUUGAACCCAGGAGGCGGAGGUUGCAGUGAGCUGAGAUCUCGCCAUUGUACUCCAGCCUGGAUGACAGAGUGAGACUCCAUCUUAAAAAAAAAAAAAAGAAAAGAAAAAGAAAGAAAGAGAGAAAGAAAGAGCCAUCAGAACAUGAGACUCCCUGCGCUUUGGGCAGCCAGGGAGACGAGCGUCUGUCUCCCUGGGGAGGGAGAGUUUACAGCUUUCUGCAGACCAUGGCAGGGGGGUUAUGUUUCAUGUCAUGGACUCACAAAGUUGGGGGUUUCAGAAGGGACCCCAGGAAUCAACUAGUGCAACUCCCAUUCCACAGAUCAACAAACCAAGGCCCAGAUUGAGAAAGUGACCGUCUGAAGUGUCCUUAGGAUGGUUUUAGGAUGACAUCAUGCUCCAUGCCACAGCCCACCUGAUUUGGGCCAGGAGCCCCUCCCCAAACUCUGCCAGCCUCACCUGGCCCUGGACCCCCACCAAGUUCCGGGCACAGUGGUCUGCUCACUGCUCCUCCACAUAGAGCUCAUGCUCCAGCCGCCACCCCGCCCCUGCCGACCCCGGGCCUUCACUCACUCUCAACUCUACAUCUUUUCAGGGUCACACUCUCAACACCACAACCACAGCUGCUUCACCAUCUGGGCUGCUCAGGGCCUCCGAGUGCCACGCAUUCUCUCCACAGCUCUAAGCACUAUCUGAAAUUAGCUCACUUCUUUUCCUUUUUUUUGUCUUCUCUCUCCCCCUGAACCUGGGGCCCCCGAGGGCAGGGGCCUGGUCUCAUUUGCCCUGGUAACCCCAGUUCCUCAAGCAGCAUCUGGUUCAUAGGAGGUGCUCAAGAAAUACGCAAUGGAUGAGUAAACAAAAGACUGAGUGACUGGAAGCCCCAGAACCCGGGCCCGGCAGAGCGUCAUUCCAUAAAGCACCGGCCUUUACAAAAGCCCGGCUGUUCAUGGACUGCCAUGUGUGGUGCAUCUGGGUGCGGCUUCACUGCCCUGGUUGGUGGGCUGAUACUGAUUUUGGGGUUUUCUCCUAUAUCAUCAGAGCACAUCUCCCCUCUCACAGAGGAAGACAAAUUCUUCCUUGGGUCUGUAAGACUUUUCAGACUUUUUUUUCUUUUUUUGAAACAGAGUCUCACUCCGUCACUCAGGCUGGAGUGCAGUGGUGUGAUCUCAGCUCACUGCAACCUCAGCCUCCCGGGUUCAAAUGAUUCUCCUGCCUCAGCCUCCUGAGUGGCUGGAAUUACAGGUGUGUGCCACCAUACCUGGCUAAUUUUUGUAUUUUUAGUAGAGAUGGGGUUUCACUGUGUUGGCCAGACUGGUCUCAAAUUGCUGACCUCAGGUGAUCUGCCCACCUCAGCCUCCCAAAAUACUGGGAUUAUAGGCGUGAGCCACUGUGCCCUGCCUGUAAGACUUUGUAAUACUUAAUACUAAGUUAUGUGUGCCACCAGCAUGUACACAUAAUCAUUUUCUUCUCCUUUAAGUAAAAAAUGAGAAAGAACAGACACGUGGUACAGGGUCUGAGACAGAAAACCACUCUGGCCAGCAGCAGCAUCGAAGGCACAAAGCAACCUUUGGUUCUGCCAGGAGGCUGUUCCUCCGCCACUGAGAGAGCCCAUACCCGCAUCCCAGCGGCUCCAGACGCCAGCUUCUGCCAGCUCUCAGGAAUGUUUUGCUCCUGAUCCACUUCUGCGUCUACUUCCUGAUGCACUGGCUCCAGCCCAGCCGACAUGCACGGCAGCAGAGAGAUGGCUGUCACAUCGGCUGCUCAAGCAGUCAGGGGCCAAGUGGAAUCCUGGCACUGGGGAGAACGUUCACCACAGCGAUGGAGCUAGUCUGUGAUUCCGCUUGAAAAGCCACCUGCUAGGCGGUUUGUCUGCUCUCAGCCGGGCACCCUCACGCACCUGCAGUGGCGACAGGUGGGUCUUGUUGCUGUGGGCUGUCCCGAUGCAAUGGGCUGUAGCUGUCCCAAUGCACUGAACUCUGUGCUCCAGCGGGCUGGCCCAGACACAGUGCAGCAGCUGGCAGAGCUGAGAGAAGAAGUGUGCAGUCCCCUGGCAGCCUCAGCUCAGGGCUGGCCUACAGUCACGUCUGCCACACCACUGCUCAAAGCCACUCUCCUGGAUGUGCCACACUCAAACAGGAGAAACAGACGCCACCUCUUCAGAUGAAGAGCUGCAAAGUCAUCGAUUUAAAGAGCAGCAAACUCAUAUCCUCAUUUCUUUCUUUCUUUUUGAGACAGGGUCUUGCUCUGUUGCCCAGGCUGGACUAGAACUCCUGAGCUCAAGUAAUCCUCCUGUUCACAGACCAAACUGAAGGUAGACCACCUAUGCUCAUGUCCCAGUGACAAGAUGCAGAUGAACUAGGAGAGAAGGGAGUUUUUAUUUCUGUAACCAGUUACAGAGAGAAGGCCUGGAAAUUAUCACCAGACCAACUUAAAAUGACAGCGUUUUCCAGAGCUUCUAUACCUUCUCAGCUGUGUGUCUACGUGUGAGUGUGCAUCCAUCUAAAGACAUAAGUGAUUAACUUCUAAUCCAUAACUAAGAUCUGAGUCCAGAAGACCUUCCUCCGGAGCCUCAGUGAAUUUAAUUAACCUAGCUGGGUCCAGGUGCUGGGGUGAAAACCCGGAUCUGGCCUCCUGCUAAGUCAUGGAGGUUUGGGGAGUUCCUUUAGUCUCCAGUAAAGCCUGUUUGUGGAGGCCUGGGGAGUUUCUUCAGACCCCCAAUAAAAUUUGUUUAAUCCUAAAUGGGUCCUGUUAAGAAUUCCUUUGUUAUCUCUUCAUGCUUUAAAGCCCAGGAAAGGCCUGGGCAAAACUCUUGGUGGGCUUUUGUUACAUUCCAGCCUUUGUAUAAGGGCGCUGGCUCUUUCAGCUUUUAAUAUUUAACUUUACCACUUGGUCAGUACUGAAACAGUUGUUAUGGAGGCCUGUGUUAGUGAGACCUGGCCUGCCACACCCCCACCUCAGCCUUGCAAGUAGCUGGGACCGUAGGUGUGUAUGACCACAACCGGCUACGAAGUCCUAUUUCUAAGGUGCAUGGAAACAGUGAAGGGAAAAUUAAGGCUAUUUUCGCAAACAAAACAUUCAAACAGGCCGGGCGCGGUGGCUCACGCCUGUAAUCCCAGCACUUAGGAAGGCCGAGGCGGGUGGAUCAUGAGGUCAGGAGAUCGAGACCAUCCUGGCUAACAAGG